rnacentral:rRNA from 1 species
AUUGAACGCUGGCGGCAUGCCUUACACAUGCAAGUCGAACGGCAGCACGGGUGCUUGCCCCUGGUGGCGAGUGGCGAACGGGUGAGUAAUACAUCGGAACAUGUCCUGUGGUGGGGGAUAGCCCGGCGAAAGCCGGAUUAAUACCGCAUACGAUCUACGGAUGAAAGCGGGGGACCUUCGGGCCUCGCGCUUUAGGGUUGGCCGAUGGCUGAUUAGCUAGUUGGUGGGGUAAAGGCCUACCAAGGCGACGAUCAGUAGCUGGUCUGAGAGGACGACCAGCCACACUGGGACUGAGACACGGCCCAGACUCCUACGGGAGGCAGCAGUGGGGAAUUUUGGACAAUGGGCGAAAGCCUGAUCCAGCAAUGCCGCGUGUGUGAAGAAGGCCUUCGGGUUGUAAAGCACUUUUGUCCGGAAAGAAAUCCUUGGCUCUAAUACAGUCGGGGGAUGACGGUACCGGAAGAAUAAGCACCGGCUAACUACGUG